ensembl:lncRNA
GCCAUAUGUCUGUAGAUCGCUCUGGUUCACCCUCUCCUACUAUGUCUCUCUAUCGCUCUUUAUGUAUUGAGCACCUCCAUAUCACUUUGUCCUCACCUGUCUCGUUACCAUCUCCCCUAGACUGUCGGGCCAAAAGGGAUUCGUAACAGCUCCUGCUUUUCCCAGUCUCUUUUUCCUUGCCCUCCUGGUUCUGACCCUUGCCUGUCCUGACUCUGAGCCCGCCUGUCUGACCACUCUGCCUGCCCAAACCUCGAGCCUGCCUAUCGCUUGGUACUGUUUGGACUCUGACUUGGUUUAUGAACUGUCGCCUGUACCCGACCUGCCUUUUGCCUACCCCUUUUACUAUAAUAAAUAUCGGAG